UACGGAGGGUGCGAGCGUUGUCCGGAAUCACUGGGCGUAAAGGGCGCGUAGGUGGCGCGGGCAGUCAACGGUGAAAGUUCGGGCUCAACCCUGAAUCGGCCGUCGAUACUCCCGUGCUUGAGCACUGUAGAGGCAGAUGGAAUUCCGGGUGUAGCGGUGGAAUGCGUAGAGAUCCGGAAGAACACCGGUGGCGAAGGCGGUCUGCUGGGCAGUAGCUGACACUGAGGCGCGACAGCGUGGGGAGCAACAG
rnacentral:rRNA from 1 species